GAGGUUAUAGCUCAGUGGUAAAGUGCAUGCUUAGCAUGCACGAGGCACUGGGUUCUAUCCCCAGUACCUCCU
rfam:Camelus ferus unplaced genomic scaffold scaffold445, whole genome shotgun sequence.